GGUGGGGGCUUUUUUUUUUCUUUAUAAGCACUAAUUAACUUUCAGAGAGAUGUCACUAGACAAACAGCACAGUUGAAAAAAGGGAUGUCAUAUGUUGAGACUGAACGCUCAUUACAAAGUUUCUGUCUCUGAUGAAAAAGAAUUUUUCAAAACCACUGUGUAUACUACACAGAGAUGUACUAAAUCCUUCCGCUGUUAGAGUAAUUGGAAGCUCAGGGGCAACAAUCUUGAGCAGAGUCCAUCCCAUCCCUCCCCACAUCAUUUUGUCUCAGUGGCCCUGUGGUGUCCAAAUGUGACUCAGCUCCCUGCUGACUUCACAAUCACUGUCAGGUGCUUCCUACACCACCCUUGCAAGGCCACUAUCACAGGUUCCCUGGGGCUUUUGCUGCCUGUGCCAGCAGAUGUCUCCUCCUGACAGAGUGGGGCAUUUCACGCCACUUCAAGUCUUUGCCUUGUGACACGGGCCAAAGAGUGUCUGAGCAUCUUUCCCUCUUCACUCAGCUGCGCUCAGCAGGAGGCAGAACUCUUGUGCCAUUCUUUUUUUUAAGCUGAUUGCAAUCCAACUUUCAAUUUCAAUGGAAACAGACAAUGUUGAGCAAUACAUCUUAGGGAAUGCUCACAAAAAGAUAGAUUUUUUAAAAAUAGCAGCAUACACAAGCUUCCACAUAAGAGUCCUAAAACAACUGUCUGAGCAGAUUCUCAGUUUUUUUAUUCCAAGCUGAAUUAAAAAAUACAUAUUAAUGUCUUCAGCUGAUGUUUAUUUUAAAUGAGUCUUGAAUGUUGGGAUAAUUCUGAGUAGUUGAAAAAAAAAUAUGUUUGUCUGUACCAACAUCUAAGAGGUCAAGUGCAGAACAAGCUAAAUAGAGGUUAAACAAAAUAUAAAGUGAUUUUUUAUGAGGUUCAGCUACUGGAAAAUUAAAUCACGAGGGUAUAAAUAAUGGAAGCCCAGAUGUUUUAUAUGAAAAAUUGUUAAAUAAACCACGCUUUCUUUAGCAAAGUCAAUCAAGUAGAUAUAUUUGAACUUGAGUAAGACACGGCAAGUACCACUUACAGGAUUUUCACUAAAAACUACAUCAUGCAACAGCAAAAGGCAUCAGUAGCUGCGCUGCAAAAUGUUUAAAAGCCAUCUCAAAGAAUAGCAAGCACUGGGGUAUUUUCAUUAUGAUAAAGUCUUUUAAGAGUUCUCAGCAUUAAUCAAUGUUUUCAACUGCAUCCUAAAAGUAAAAAUGUUAUAAUGGUAGAUAAAGUGAGAUAAGGAUUAACUACAUUGUUAAACAGUGAUAAGUAAAUCAUGCAGAAUGACCUGUAUCUUUCACACUGUGCCCAUUCAGUCAAAAUAUGUUUUCCAUGGACAAUCAGAAGCAUAAAAUCUAUGAAAUUUCUCUGAGGGCCAUAUCCAAAAAACAGGGAGGGGGAGUCAAAAGGAGGGCACUGUAUUCUGAAAAGCAGUGACAGGAAAGGUCAGUAACUCUGAAAGUCAGACUGGUUGAACAAUUUAACAUGAGCUCCCAGCAGCAUGCCGUAGCAGAGACCCCAGAAAAAUAUAUAAUAAUAUUAAUAAUAAUCUAGUAUUUGUACAACAAUGAAAAAAGUGAGGGAAAUCCAGUUUGAAGACAGCGGAUGAUGUUUGGCUAUUUAAAUUUAUUAAAAGGGUGUUGAAAAUCACUCAAGCUGACUGACAACUGAAGAGUAAGAUUGAGAAGUAAAGAAGCUGGUUCAGCAACAGACUAAAGAGGCUGAAUAGUGUGGCAAAAAGAGACUGACUUUUAUAAAUGUCUUCACAUGGAGGCAAUACUAAAUACCAGACAGCUUUUAAUCAGACUAAACAAGAAGGAUGACUACACUGAUUUUAGCUGAUUUGACUGAUUCAACUGGGGAAGAGCAAUGUGUUUGCAAAUGCAGAGGCACAGAGCUGCUGUUUUCCAGGGAAGUAGUACAUGCUCCAUUUCUUGAAGUUUUCUCACCAAAACCAAUAUGGCAACAAGUCACUUCAGAUCAACUUACUGAAAACCUGUCUCGUCUAAAUUCACAUGAGGUGCACAUUGCCCUCACACUGCCCCUCAAGGGCAGUUACAGACCCAGAGAAGUGAUCCUGCCAUGAGCUGGAGUUACCUCUUGGGAGAUAAGAACUCAGCUCUCACCUCUAUCAAACAGGAUUUGUAUGGCACCUAGCUAGUAAAGCUUCAUUUUACCCAGUUUUAUGUAUCUAAAAGCUAAAUGUCUAUUUAGCAUGUACAUGUCUGAACCAUUUUCACCCUUAGCAACUCCAACAGCCAGCAGAGAGAAGCAGGCACAGUUGGAGAGCUGUUCUCUGACAGUUCUCAAAACAAUCACUACCCAAUGAGGAAAUCAUGCUCUGAAGAAAUCUCUGAGCUGAUUAAAGAAAUGCAGGCAGGUGACUGGCUUGUACUUGGACAAUAGCAUUCUAGACAUAUAAAUAAGGGAAGGCAUGCCUUAGCCUCCCUGAAGAGGAUAUUAAUAUUUAUAAGCUGCUGUGAAAAUAAUACCUUAGAGACAAUAUUAUUAGGAGCUAUAUGAAUAGCUAUGAUAAAUGACAUCAAAAAAUCACAGUGUUUAAAUUUUUGCAAAGCUCUAGGAUAAAAAGAAAAUUUAAUCUUGAGAUACUAAGAAAAUAUUCAGAGAGUGGGCCAGGUUUCUGAAUGCCACAAAGAAGUACUGAAUAUAUUGACUCCAUGUACUCCUUCCUUGGUGGCAAAGACAGCUUAAAAGACCUCCCUCUGAAUCAAAGUGGGGAUUUUUUUGGUUUGUAUUCCAUUUUAAAUGGUAAUUUUUCACCACUCUUGCUUGCAGUAUGGCAACAAAGUUGUGCCAGCAGAGUUGGAUGGGGCACUGCAUAGCUCUGAAAUGGCAGAGGACAGUACAGUCAACUCAAGUAAGAAAGAUGAUCCAUGUGGUGAUCCCCUUAUGACAUGGAAGAAUGGUGUGACCAAAAAGUAGAGUCUCUCUUAUCUACACAAACUCUGGAGGGCAACAGUUCAAGUGACCACCCUGAACAGCCGUUGUAAAAGCAUACAACAGUGGGUUUCCUGUCUGCUUUUAGGAGCAGAUCCUUUCACACAGAUGUAUCCUUACUUAAUUUUCUUUGGAUUUUGUUCCAGCAGUCAGAUGGGGAGGAAAUGUUGCACUUCCUUUAUAGUAAACCUUCAUCAGUACUCUGAGUGGUCCAUUCUGCAGUCUUUCCUUAUA